GAUGAACGCUGGCGGCGUGCCUAACACAUGCAAGUCGAGCGAAGCACUUACUUUAGAUUUCUUCGGAAUGACGAAGUUUGUGACUGAGCGGCGGACGGGUGAGUAACGCGUGGGCAACCUGCCCUGUACAGGGGGAUAACAGUUAGAAAUGACUGCUAAUACCGCAUAAGCCCACAGCUUCGCAUGAAGCAGUGGGAAAAACUCCGGUGGUACAGGAUGGGCCCGCGUCUGAUUAGCUAGUUGGUAAGGUAACGGCUUACCAAGGCGACGAUCAGUAGCCGACCUGGGAGGGUGACCGGCCACAUUGGGACUGAGACACGGCCCAAACUCCUACGGGAGGCAGCAGUGGGGAAUAUUGCACAAUGGGGGAAACCCUGAUGCAGCGACGCCGCGUGAGCGAUGAAGUAUUUCGGUAUGUAAAGCUCUAUCAGCAGGGAAGAAAGUGACGGUACCUGACUAAGAAGCCCCGGCUAACUACGUG
rnacentral:rRNA from 1 species